GAUGAAGAACGUAGUGAAAUGCGAUACGUAAUGUGAAUUGCAGAAUUCAGUGAAUCAUCGAGUCUUUGAACGCACAUUGCGCCCCCUGGUAUUCCGGGGGGCAUGCCUGUCCGAGCGUCAUUGCUGUCCUCAAGCACGGCUUGUGUGUUGGGCCUCCGUCCUCCUCCCGGGGGACGGGCCCGAAAGGCAGCGGCGGCACCGCGUCCGGUCCUCGAGCGUAUGGGGCUUCGUCACCCGCUCUUGUAGGCCCGGCCGGCGCUUGCCGACACAUCAAUCUUUUUUCCAGGUUGACCUCGGAUCAGGUAGGGAUACCCGCUGAACUUAAGCAUAUCAAUAAGCGGAGGA
rnacentral:misc_RNA from 1 species